AGCUGCGUGGUGAGCACAAAGCGAACUAUUCUUUCGCCUUUUACUAAAGAAUGCCGUGUGCGCACCACAUUUAAGCAGCAUACUCUUAUUUUUGGAGGGUGUUUUCUCUUUAAUAGAGAAU
rfam:Oryza punctata chromosome 6, whole genome shotgun sequence.